UACGGAGGGGGCUAGCGUUGUUCGGAAUUACUGGGCGUAAAGCGCACGUAGGCGGCUUUGUAAGUUAGAGGUGAAAGCCCAGGGCUUAACUCUGGAAUUGCCUUUAAGACUGCAUCGCUAGAAUCGUGGAGAGGUGAGUGGAAUUCCGAGUGUAGAGGUGAAAUUCGUAGAUAUUCGGAAGAACACCAGUGGCGAAGGCGACUCACUGGACACGUAUUGACGCUGAGGUGCGAAAGCGUGGGGAGCAACAGG
rnacentral:rRNA from 1 species